rnacentral:rRNA from 1 species
CCUACGGGAGGCAGCAGUGGGGAAUAUUGCACAAUGGGGGAAACCCUGAUGCAGCGACGCCGCGUGAGUGAAGAAGGAUUUCGGUAUGUAAAGCUCUAUCAGAAGGGAAGAAAAAAGACCGUACCUCACUAAAAAGCCCAGGCUAAAUACGUUCCAGCAGCCGCGGUAAUACGGAGGUGGGAAGCGUUGUCCGGAUUUACUGGGGGUAAAGGGAGCGUAGACGGGGCGGCAAGUCUGAAGUGAAAGGCAGGGGCCUAACCCCCAAACUGCCUUGGAAACUGUCAUGCUAGAGUACUGGAGAGGUAAGUGGAAUUCCUAGUGUAGCGGUGAAAUGCGUAGAUAUAAGGAGGAACACCAGUGGCGAAGGCGGCUUACUGGACAGUAACUGACGGUGAGGCUCGAAAGCGUGGGGAGCAAACAGGAUUAGAUACCCGUGUAGUC